GGCCAACCGCUCRGUUAAAACGGGAGGCCAAUAUCCGCUCCCAGCCAAGCAUCCCAAAGGAAAUGUUGGGGGAGCGACGCGAUGCGUGACGCCCAGGCAGACGUGCCCUCGGCCGAAUGGCUUCGGGCGCAACUUGCGUUCAAAAACUCGAUGGUUCACGGGAUUCUGCAAUUCACACC
rnacentral:rRNA from 1 species